UACGGAGGGUCCAAGCGUUAUCCGGAAUCAUUGGGUUUAAAGGGUCCGUAGGCGGUUUUGUAAGUCAGUGGUGAAAGCCCAUCGCUCAACGGUGGAACGGCCAUUGAUACUGCAAGACUUGAAUUAUUGGGAAGUAACUAGAAUAUGUAGUGUAGCGGUGAAAUGCUUAGAGAUUACACGGAAUACCAAUUGCGAAGGCAGGUUACUACCAAUAGAUUGACGCUGAUGGACGAAAGCGUGGGGAGCGAACAGG
rnacentral:rRNA from 1 species